AACGUCGUGAGACAGUUCGGUCCCUAUCUGCCGUGGGUGUAGGAUACUUGAGAGGAGUUGCCCCUAGUACGAGAGGACCGGGGUGAACGGACCACUGGUGGACCUGUUGUGGCGCCAGCCGCAGUGCAGGGUAGCUAUGUUCGGAAAGGAUAACCGCUGAAGGCAUCUAAGCGGGAAGCCCCCCUCGAAACAAGGCCUCCCUGAAGAACCGUGGUAGACCACCACGUUGAUAGGCCGGGUGUGGAAGUGCGGCAACGCAUGAAGCUUACCGGUACUAAUCGUUCGUUCG
rnacentral:rRNA from 1 species